GAUGAACGCUGGCGGCGUGCCUAAUACAUGCAAGUCGAGCGAAUGGAUUAAGAGCUUGCUCUUAUGAAGUUAGCGGCGGACGGGUGAGUAACACGUGAGUAACCUGCCCAUAAGACUGGGAUAACUCCGGGAAACCGGGGCUAAUACCGGAUAAUAUUUUGAACUGCAUGGUUCAAAAUUGAAAGGCGGCUUCGGCUGUCACUUAUGGAUGGACACGCGUCGCAUUAGCUAGUUGGUGAGGUAACGGCUCACCAAGGCAACGAUGCGUCGCCGACCUGAGAGGGUGAUCGGCCACACUGGGACUGAGACACGGCCCAGACUCCUACGGGAGGCAGCAGUAGGGAAUCUUCCGCAAUGGACGAAAGUCUGACGGAGCAACGCCGCGUGAGUGAUGAAGGCUUUCGGGUCGUAAAACUCUGUUGUUAGGGAAGAACAAGUGCUAGUUGAAUAAGCUGGCACCUUGACGGUACCUAACCAGAAAGCCACGGCUAACUACGUGCCAGCCGCCGCCGUAA
rnacentral:rRNA from 1 species